UACGGGGGGUGCGAGCGUUGUCCGGAAUCACUGGGCGUAAAGGGCGCGUAGGUGGUUUGAUAAGGGUGUGGUGAAAGCCCGGGGCUCAACCCCGGGUCUGCCGUGCCGACUGUCAAACUCGAGGGCUGUAGAGGCAGGCGGAAUUCCGGGUGUAGCGGUGGAAUGCGUAGAGAUCCGGAAGAACACCGGUGGCGAAGGCGGCCUGCUGGGCAGUUGCUGACACUGAGGCGCGACAGCGUGGGGAGCAAACAGG
rnacentral:rRNA from 1 species